rnacentral:rRNA from 1 species
UACGGGGGGGGCAAGCGUUGUUCGGAAUUACGGGGCGUAAAGGGCGCGUAGGUGGCCUUCUAAGUUGAACGUGAAAUCCCUGGGCUCAACCCAGGAACUGCGUCCGAUACUGAAAGGCUUGAAUCCGGGAGAGGGAUGUGGAAUUCCAGGUGUAGCGGUGAAAUGCGUAGAUAUCUGGAGGAACACCGGUGGCGAAGGCGGCAUCCUGGACCGGUAUUGACGCUGAGGCGCGAAAGCUAGGGAGCAAACGGG